rnacentral:misc_RNA from 1 species
AGAGGGCAGGUCGGGCACCCAAGGUUUUAAAACGAAGAGUCGUAGGCUUAGGAACCUCACUUGUUCCUGGGCGGGACAGGGCAAGGCGGGCGUUCCUUUUCCUUUCUGUGUCUUUCCUGGUGCUACUCACUUGGGCCCAGGCUUGUGUCUUUAGGAGUAGUUGUGCCGAGGGAGCAAAAGUAAGGUAGCCGAUCGCCCGCCGCUCAAACCACCAUGGAAGACGGCCAUUGCUACGAGUUCGAGGAGGUCCUCACCAAGUUCGCCGUCAAGCAGGAAGUGGGUCUGUCCGAGGCCCAGGUCAAGGAGAACCAGGAGAAGUACGGCCCCAACGAACUGCCUGCUGAAGAGGGCAAAUCUCUCCUGCAGUUGAUUCUUGAGCAGUUCGAUGACCUCCUCGUCAAGAUCCUUCUGCUGGCUGCCAUCAUCUCCUUCGUGUUGGCUUGCUUCGAGGAGGGCGAAGAGACCGUGACGGCCUUUGUCGAGCCCUUCGUCAUUCUCCUUAUUCUCAUCGCUAAUGCCAUCGUCGGCGUGUGGCAGGAGCGCAAUGCCGAAUCCGCCAUCGAAGCCCUGAAGGAGUACGAGCCCGAGAUGGGCAAGGUCGUGCGCGCGAACAAGGCCGGCGUCCAGAAGAUCCGCGCCAAGGGCAUCGUCCCCGGAGACAUCGUUGAGAUCUCGGUUGGAGACAAGAUCCCCGCCGACCUGCGUCUGUGCAAGAUCUUCUCAACGACCCUGCGUAUUGACCAGUCCAUUCUCACUGGAGAGUCCGUCUCCGUCAUCAAACACACUGAUGCCAUCCCUGACCCCAAGGCCGUCAACCAGGACAAGAAAAAUAUUCUCUUCUCUGGCACAAACGUUGCUGCAGGCAAGGCUCGUGGCGUUGUCAUCGGCACUGGACUUAACACUGCUAUUGGUAAGAUCCGUACCCAAAUGGCAGAGACUGAGGAGAUCAAGACACCCCUGCAGCAGAAGCUUGAUGAGUUCGGUGAGCAGCUGUCCAAGGUCAUCUCCAUUAUCUGUGUUGCUGUCUGGGCCAUCAACAUUGGACACUUCAAUGACCCUGCUCAUGGUGGUUCAUGGAUCAAGGGUGCUAUCUACUACUUCAAGAUUGCUGUUGCUCUGGCUGUCGCUGCCAUCCCUGAGGGUCUCCCUGCUGUCAUCACCACUUGCCUUGCCCUUGGCACUCGUCGUAUGGCCAAGAAAAAUGCUAUUGUGAGGUCUUUGCCUUCUGUUGAGACUCUUGGUUGUACCUCUGUUAUCUGCUCAGACAAAACUGGCACACUCACCACCAACCAGAUGUCUGUCUCCCGCAUGUUCAUCAUGGAUAAGGUCGAAGGUAACGAUUGCUCUCUGCUGGAAUUCGAGAUCACUGGCUCCACCUACGAGCCCAUUGGUGACAUCUACCUCGGUGGUGCUAAGGUGAAGGGUGCUGACUUCGAAGGUCUGCAGGAACUCUCCACCAUUUCCUUCAUGUGCAAUGAUUCUUCCAUUGACUUCAAUGAAUUCAAGAAUAUGUUUGAAAAGGUUGGUGAAGCUACUGAGACUGCCCUGAUUGUGCUGGGUGAGAAGAUCAACCCCUACAGCCAGUCCAAGGUUGGUCUGGAUCGCCGCUCUGCUGCCAUUGUUGCCAAGCAGGACAUGGAGACUAAGUGGAAGAAGGAAUUCACCCUGGAAUUCUCCCGUGACCGCAAAUCCAUGUCCUCUUAUUGCGUGCCCCUCAAGCCUACCCGCCUGGGAACUGGACCCAAGAUGUUCUGCAAGGGCGCACCCGAGGGUGUUCUUGAACGUUGCACUCAUGUCCGCGUCGGUACCCAGAAGGUUCCCCUCACUGCUGGUGUUAGAGACAAGAUCUUGGCUGUUACCCGUGACUAUGGCUGUGGUCGUGACACUCUCCGCUGCUUGGGUCUUGCCACCAUUGACACCCCAAUGAAGCCUGAGGAUAUGGAUCUUGCUGACUCUACCAAGUUCUACACUUAUGAAGUCAACAUGACCUUCGUUGGUGUUGUUGGCAUGCUUGACCCGCCCCGCAAGGAAGUGCGUGACUCCAUUGAGAGGUGUCGUGAAGCUGGUAUCCGUGUCAUUGUCAUCACUGGAGACAACAAGGCCACUGCUGAAGCUAUCUGCCGCCGCAUUGGUGUAUUCCGUGAAGAUGAGGAUACUUUUGGCAAGUCAUACUCCGGUCGUGAAUUUGAUGAGCUCAGCAUCCCUGAACAGAGAAAUGCCUGCAUCAAUUCCCGUCUCUUCUCCCGUGUCGAGCCUUUCCACAAGUCAAAGAUUGUUGAAUACUUGCAGGGUGAGGGUGAGAUCUCUGCCAUGACUGGUGAUGGUGUGAAUGAUGCUCCUGCUCUGAAGAAGGCUGAGAUUGGUAUUGCCAUGGGUUCAGGCACUGCUGUGGCUAAGUCUGCCUCUGAGAUGGUGCUUGCUGAUGAUAACUUCUCUUCCAUUGUGGCUGCUGUUGAGGAAGGUCGUGCCAUCUACAACAACAUGAAGCAGUUCAUCCGUUACCUCAUUUCCUCCAACAUUGGUGAAGUUGUGUCCAUCUUCUUGACUGCUGCUCUUGGUCUCCCAGAGGCUCUCAUUCCUGUCCAGCUCUUGUGGGUCAACCUGGUUACUGAUGGUCUCCCUGCCACUGCCUUGGGCUUCAACCCCCCAGAUCUUGACAUCAUGGAGAAGCCCCCACGCAAGGCUGAUGAGUCUCUCAUCUCUGGCUGGCUCUUCUUCCGCUACAUGGCUAUUGGUGGCUAUGUUGGCUGUGCUACUGUCUUUGCUGCCUCCUGGUGGUUCAUGUAUGACCCCACUGGCCCUCAGCUCAACUACUACCAGCUGUCCCACCAUUUGUCCUGCUUGGGUGAUGAGAAGAACUUUGAAGGUCUGGAUUGCAACAUCUUCAGCCACCCAGCCCCCAUGACCAUGGCUCUUUCUGUGCUUGUCACCAUUGAGAUGCUCAACGCUCUUAACAGCUUGUCAGAGAACCAGUCACUCAUCGUGAUGCCCCCCUGGGUCAACAUCUGGCUGCUGGCGGCUAUGGCCCUCUCCAUGACCCUGCAUUUCAUCAUCUUGUACAUUGAUAUCCUUGGUACUGUGUUCCAGGUGAUGCCUCUCUCAACUGCACAGUGGAUAGCUGUAUUGAAGAUAUCCCUCCCUGUGUUGCUGCUGGACGAGACCCUCAAGUUCAUUGCCCGCAAGUACACUGAUGGUGAGAAUCCACUCUAUUCCUGCCACUGGACUGUGCUAGCCUGGGCUAUCUAUUUUGCCUAUAUCUGGAUAUACUUCUUCUAACCUCAGUCACCACCCUAACCUAUAUAUAUAUAUAUAUAUAUAUAUAUAUAUAUAUAUAUAUAUAUAUAUAUAUAUAUAUAUAUAUAUAUAUAUAUAUAUAUAUAUAUAUAUAUAUAUAUAUACACAUAUUUAUUUUUUCUUUAUUUUAUCUCCUAGUAUCUGUGUUCAUCUUUCACCCAUUUAUUUUUAUGAAGAAUUCAUAUAUGACUCCCCAUUCCUUCCCCCUCAUGGCAUUUAUGACACAGUUAGGUACCUGACAAGGCAGUUCUGAAGUUGUAACUUUUAUGAUAAUGAUAUACCAGAGAUCUUCACAAAUAUUUUUUGCCUUGUCAUGGUAGAUCAUAUUUUCAUCCAGUGUAGUUAGUUAUUUUUACUUGAAUUAGGUGUAAGUGUUAGAAAUCAUUCCCCAUGUUAGCACUGCUGUUUAAAAGUGAAAGGGAAAUCGAAGCACAAAAAGAUAGCUGUAUCUUCUUGUGUGUAUAACUUGCUGUUCCUCCCCGUCUGCCCCCAAAGCCCGUGAGACUAACCCCCUUCCCACAUGAAUCCAGUUAUUAUUGGUAGAAUGCCGAGUGAAGUGCAAGGAUUUCUUGAUAAACUAAUACAGUAUGUAACUGUUGAAGCAUCUUGAUGACGACUGAGAAUGUCGUCAAGAAGCUCUGUCUGUGUCACUAAAGAUCACCUCUGUUGUGUCAGCCAAAACUAACUCUUUAUGCAAAUCAUUUUUCACUUUUUCAACAUUUUACUAUACAUUUUACAUACAAAAUGGAAAAAACGCAUGUGAAGUGUUGGAAGUGUUUAAAAAAAAUACAGGUAUUGGUAUCCUAUUUUGCUGAAGGAAAAAGGAAAAUAGAUAAGUGUUACUUGUGAUAAAAAAUAUAUUUUGUGGUAUUAACUGUUGGUGCAAGGUCAUACAGCCUAUUUAAACUUUUGAUUCUUUUCACGUUAAAAAGUGAAUAAAAAGAGAAUAGAGGACAAAAUAAUUGGUCACUGCGUCAUUCCAUUUAUGUAUUUUUCUUUUCUUUUCUUUUUUAUGGUCCUUUAUAAGCUGUGAUGUCUUUACGAGUUUUGUUAAGAAAAUAAUAAAUUGUUGUUAAAAAGUUGAA